UAAACUAGGAUUAGAUACCCUAUUAUUGAAAACGUAAAUUUAUAAACUUGAGUAGUAGUAGUUAUGUUCUUGAAAUUUAAAGAAUCUGGCGGUAUUUUAGUCUAUUCAGAGGAACCUGUUCUAUAAUUGAUGAUCCACGAUUAAUUGUACUUAUUUUAAAGGUUUGUAUAUCGUCGUAGUUGGAAUGUUUUAGAAGAAAAUGCAAUGUUCAAGAUUUAGAAAUUUAAAGGAAAUCAGAUCAAGAUACAGCGGAUAGAUAAGAAGAAAUGGGUUACAAUAAAAAUAUUUAAAUGGUUAGUUUAAUUAACAUUAAACUAUAAAGUGGAUUUGAAAGUAAUAUAAUUAAGUUAAAUUAUAUGAUUUUAGCUCUAAAAUAUGCACAUAUCGCCCGUCGCUCCCGUUUUAAGAUGGGAUAAGUCGUAACAAAGUAGGCGUACUGGAAAGUGUGCCUGGUAAGGCAAAUUAGAGCUUGUUAAAAAGCAUUUUAUUUACAUUAAAAAGUUAGUUGUGAAAAUCAAUUUAGUUUGAAAUUAUAAAUUUAUAUUAAUUUUAUAAAAAAAAUAUUUUUAUUAUUAGUAUUUUUUAGAAUAGGAAGUUUAAAUUAUAGUGGAUAUGUAUAGUGAUAGGGCAUUGAAAUAUUAGAAUAGUAAAUUAAUAAAAAGAAGAGUUGAAUUUUUGUACCUUGUGUAUCAGGGUUUAUUAAAAUAAUUUAAUGAGUUAUAUUUCUCGAAUUAAAAAGAGCUAAUUUUAUAUAAAUUUAAUUGUAGCAUAAAUUUUUAUAAUAUAAUAUUAGAAAUGAAACGUUAUUCGUUUUUUAAGAUAUCUAGUUUUUUAAGAAAUAAAUUUAAUUUAGUUAAUGAUUUAUAUUUAAUUAAUUGUUUAAUUUAGUAUAAUUAUUAGGUAAUAUCUUAAGGGAUAAGCUUUAGGAUAAAUUAAUAAAAUUAUAUUUUAUAAGAGAAAAAAUAUAGGAUUGGAAGUUUUUAUUAUAUAGUGCGUUAUAGCUAAUUUUUUUUAUUUAUAGGAUUUAUAUUUAAUUUAUAUUUUUUAUUAAGAUAAUAUAUAUAAUUGAAUUUUAUAUGUAAUAAUGAUAGAAUUAGUAUAAUUUAAUGUUAUUAUAAUUAAGAGAUUAAGGUUAAAUUAAGGAACUCGGCAAAUGGAUUUUUCGCCUGUUUAUUAAAAACAUGUCUUUUUGAUAAUAAUUUAAAGUCUGACCUGCCCAAUGAGGAGUUGAAUGGCCGCGGUAUUUUGACCGUGCAAAGGUAGCAUAAUCAUUAGUUUUUUAAUUGAAAGCUGGAAUGAAUGGUUGGACGAGAAAAUAACUGUCUCAGUUUAAUUUUUAUUAGAAUUUUAUUUUUAAGUAAAAAAGCUUAAAUGAAUUUAAAAGACGAGAAGACCCUAUAGAGUUUUAUAUUUUUUUUUAUGUUAGUAUUUUAGUAUAGUUAGACAUUUAAUAAAAGGAAAUAUUUUGUUGGGGUGACAGAAAAAUUAAAUGAACUUUUUUUAUUUAAUUACAUUGAUUUAUGAAUAAAUGAUCCGUUUAUUACGAUUAUAAGAUUAAAUUACCUUAGGGAUAACAGCGUAAUUUUUUUUGAGAGUUCUAAUCGAAAAGAAAGUUUGCGACCUCGAUGUUGGAUUAAAAUUAACUUUUGGUGUAGGGGCUGAAAGGUUAGGUCUGUUCGACCUUUAAAAUUUUACAUGAUCUGAGUUCAAACCGGAG
rnacentral:rRNA from 1 species